rnacentral:misc_RNA from 1 species
AAGAGACGUUGCCCCUCGGGGUAUACCUCCCACCCUUUGUUUAUUAUACCUUUGUUGCUUUGGCGGGCCCGUCCUCGGACCACCGGCUUCUGCUGGUCAGUGCCCGCCAGAGGACCUAAAACUCUGUUUGUUAAUAUUGUCUGAGUACUAUAUAAUAGUUA